rnacentral:rRNA from 1 species
GUGCCAGCCGCUGCGGUAAUACGUAGGUGGCAAGCGUUGUCCGGAUUUAUUGGGCGUAAAGGGAACGCAGGCGGUCUUUUAAGUCUGAUGUGAAAGCCUUCGGCUUAACCGAAGUCGUGCAUUGGAAACUGGGAGACUUGAGUGCAGAAGAGGAGAGUGGAACUCCAUGUGUAGCGGUGAAAUGCGUAGAUAUAUGGAAGAACACCAGUGGCGAAAGCGGCUCUCUGGUCUGUAACUGACGCUGAGGUUCGAAAGCGUGGUAGCAAACAGGAUUAGAUACCCUGGUAGUCCACGCUGUAAACGAUCGAAUGCUAAGUGUUGAGGUUUCCGCCUUCAGUGCCGCAGCAAACGCAUUAAGCAUUCCGCCUGGGGAGUACGACCGCAAGGUUGAAACUCAAAGGAAUU